GCGUAUGCAACUUGCCUAUCAGAGGGGGAUAACCCGGUGAAAGUCGGACUAAUACCGCAUGAAGCAGGGGCCCCGCAUGGGGAUAUUUGCUAAAGAUUCAUCGCUGAUAGAUAGGCUUGCGUUCCAUUAGGCAGUUGGCGGGGUAACGGCCCACCAAACCGACGAUGGAUAGGGGUUCUGAGAGGAAGGUCCCCCACAUUGGUACUGAGACACGGACCAAACUCCUACGGGAGGCAGCAGUGAGGAAUAUUGGUCAAUGGGCGUAAGCCUGAACCAGCCAAGUCGCGUGAGGGAUGAAGGUUCUAUGGAUCGUAAACCUCUUUUAUAAGGGAAUAAAGUGCGGGACGUGUCCCGUUUUGUAUGUACCUUAUGAAUAAGGAUCGGCUAACUCCGUGCCAGCAGCCGCGGUAAUACGGAGGAUCCGAGCGUUAUCCGGAUUUAUUGGGUUUAAAGGGUGCGUAGGCGGCCUUUUAAGUCAGCGGUGAAAGUCUGUGGCUCAACCAUAGAAUUGCCGUUGAAACUGGGGGGCUUGAGUAUGUUUGAGGCAGGCGGAAUGCGUGGUGUAGCGGUGAAAUGCAUAGAUAUCACGCAGAACCCCGAUUGCGAAGGCAGCCUGCCAAGCCAUUACUGACGCUGAUGCACGAAAGCGUGGGGAUCAAACAGGAUUAGAUACCCUGGUAGUCCACGCAGUAAACGAUGAUCACUAGCUGUUUGCGAUACACUGUAAGCGGCACAGCGAAAGCGUUAAGUGAUC
rnacentral:rRNA from 1 species